rnacentral:tRNA from 1 species
GGGUCGGUAGCUUAGUUGGUAAAGCGCUCGUCUAGCAUACAAGAGUCCUGGGUUCGAAUCCCAGCCGAGCAC